UCCGGUUUAACACCGGCAGUCUCCUCAGAGUGCCCAACUCAAUGAUGGCAACUAAGGACAAGGGUUGCGCUCGUUGCGGGACUUAACCCAACAUCUUACGACACGAGCUGACGACAGCCAUGCAGCACCUGUCUCGGGACUCCGAAGAGGGGUCCUGGUUUCUCAGGAUUUUCCCCGAGAUGUCAAGCCCAGGUAAGGUUCUUCGCGUUGCGUCGAAUUAGACCACAUGCUCCACCGCUUGUGCGGGCCCCCGUCAAUUCCUUUGAGUUUCAGCCUUGCGGCCGUACUCCCCAGGCGGGGCACUUAAUGCGUUAGCUGCGGCACCCAGGGGGUCAAUACCCCGGACACCUAGUGCCCAUCGUUUACAGCGUGGACUAC
rnacentral:misc_RNA from 1 species